AGUCGANCGGCAGUAGAACCAGCAAUGGGACUAUGAGAGUGGCGAACGGGUGCGUAACGCGUAUGCAACUUACCUCCAACUGGGGAAUAGCCCUGGGAAACCGGGAUUAACACCGCAUAAGAUGGUAGAACCGCAUGGUUCAGCCAUUAAAGUUUACGGUUGGAGAUGGGCAUGCGUGCCAUUAGCUAGUUGGCGGGGUAAUAGCCCACCAAGGCGACGAUGGCUAGGGGGUCUGAGAGGAUGAUCCCCCACACUGGUACUGAGAUACGGACCAGACUCCUACGGGAGGCAGCAGUAGGGAAUAUUGGUCAAUGGACGCAAGUCUGAACCAGCCAUGCCGCGUGCAGGAUGAAGGCGCUCUGCGUUGUAAACUGCUUUUGUACGGGAAGAAUAUAUCGUUUGCGAACGGUUUUGACGGUACCGUAAGAAUAAGGAUCGGCUAACUACGUGCCAGCAGCCGCGGUAAUACGUAGGAUCCAAGCGUUGUCCGGAUUUAUUGGGUUUAAAGGGUGCGCAGGCGGCCUGAUAAGUCAGUGGUGAAAGCCCGUUGCUUAACAACGGAACUGCCAUUGAUACUGUCGGGCUUGAGUACAGUUGAGGUUGGCGGAAUGUAUCAUGUAGCGGUGAAAUGCUUAGAUAUGAUACAGAACACCGAUUGCGAAGGCAGCUGACUAAGCUGUUACUGACGCUCAGGCACGAAAGCGUGGGGAUCAAACAGGAUUAGAUACCCUGGUAGUCCACGCCGUAAACGUUGAUAACUCGAUGUUGGCGAUAUACAGUCAGCGUCUUAGCGAAAGCGUUAAGUUAUCCACCUGGGGAGUACGCCGGCANCGGUGAAACUCAAAGGAAUUGACGGGGGCCCGCACAAGCGGUGGAGCAUGUGGUUUAAUUCGAUGAUACGCGAGGAACCUUACCUGGGCUUAAAUGGGAUCGGACAGUUGCAGAAAUGCNAUCUCCCUUCGGGGCUGAUUUCANGNNGCUGCAUGGCUGUCGUCAGCUCGUGCCGUGAG
rnacentral:rRNA from 1 species